AAACCCGGGCUCUUUCCACUCAGCCACGCUGCUUAGGCCUCAGCUCCUCGUCCACCGGACCGGUCUCCCUCUGCCUCGUUCCGCCCACCUGGGGAGCAGGGAGAUCCGCUUUGGAGCAACUGUUAAUAAAAGUGAUUUAAAGAAAAA